UACGUAGGGUGCGAGCGUUAAUCGGAAUUACUGGGCGUAAAGCGCGCGUAGGCGGCUUUGCAAGUCGGGUGUGAAAUCCCCAGGCUUAACCUGGGAACUGCAUUCGAGACUGCAUUGCUAGAGUAUGGGAGAGGGAAGUGGAAUUUCCGGUGUAGCGGUGAAAUGCGUAGAUAUCGGAAGGAACAUCAGUGGCGAAAAGCGACUUCCUGGACCAAUACUGACGCUCAUGUGCGAAAGCGUGGGGGAGCAAACAG
rnacentral:rRNA from 1 species